CCUACGGGGGGCAGCAGUGGGGAAUAUUGCACAAUGGGCGCAAGCCUGAUGCAGCCAUGCCGCGUGUGUGAAGAAGGCCUUCGGGUUGUAAAGCACUUUCAGCGGGGAGGAAGGCGGUGAGGUUAAUAACCUCAUCGAUUGACGUUACCCGCAGAAGAAGCACCGGCUAACUCCGUGCCAGCAGCCGCGGUAAUACGGAGGGUGCAAGCGUUAAUCGGAAUUACUGGGCGUAAAGCGCACGCAGGCGGUCUGUCAAGUCGGAUGUGAAAUCCCCGGGCUCAACCUGGGAACUGCAUUCGAAACUGGCAGGCUAGAGUCUUGUAGAGGGGGGUAGAAUUCCAGGUGUAGCGGUGAAAUGCGUAGAGAUCUGGAGGAAUACCGGUGGCGAAAGCGGCCCCCUGGACAAAGACUGACGCUCAGGUGCGAAAGCGUGGGGAGCAAACAGGAUUAGAUACCCGGGUAGUC
rnacentral:rRNA from 1 species